AACAAAAACAUGUCCUUUUGAAUUUAAUUUAAGGUCUAACCUGCCCAAUGAAAAAUUUAAAUGGCCGCAGUAUUUUGACUGUGCAAAGGUAGCAUAAUCAUUAGUUUUUUAAUUAAAAGCUUGUAUGAAGGGUUGGACGAGAUAAAAACUGUCUUAGAUUAAUUUAUUAUAGAAUUUAAUUUUUAAGUCAAAAAGCUUAAAUAUAAUUAAAAGACGAGAAGACCCUAUAGAUCUUUAUAAUUUUAAUUUUAAUUAAAUUUUAGAAUUUUAUAUUAUUUAAAUUUAAAAUUAUUAUAUUGGGGUAAUAUAAAGAUUAAAAUAAUUCUUUAUUUAUUUUUACAUUAAUUUAUGAUUAUAUGAUCCAAUUUUAUUGAUUAUAAGAUUAAGUUACCUUAGGGAUAACAGCGUAAUUUUUUUAGAGAGUUCAUAUCGAUAAAAAAGUUUGCGACCUCGAUGUUG
rnacentral:rRNA from 1 species